rnacentral:rRNA from 1 species
UACGUAGGUGGCAAGCGUUGUCCGGAAUUAUUGGGCGUAAAGCGCGCGCAGGCGGUCUUUUGAGUCUGAUGUGAAAGCCCACGGCUCAACCGGGGAGGGUCAUUGGAAACUGGGAGACUUGAGUACAGAAGAGGAGAGUGGAAUUCCACGUGUAGCGGUGAAAUGCGUAGAUAUGUGGAGGAACACCAGUGGCGAAGGCGACUCUCUGGUCUGUAACUGACGCUGAGACACGAGAGCAUGGGUAGCGAACAGG